ensembl:snRNA U6 U6 spliceosomal RNA
UUGCUUCAGCAGCAAAUAUACUGACUUGGGAAACGUACAGAGAAGGUUAGCCUGGACCCCAUGCAAGAAUGGCAUAGAAAUUCCUGAAGAGUUCCAUAUUGAA